GACGUAGGGUGCGAGCGUUGUCCGGAUUUAUUGGGCGUAAAGAGCUUGUAGGCGGUUUGUCGCGUCUGCUGUGAAAAUCCGGGGCUCAACCCCGGACUUGCAGUGGGUACGGGCAGACUAGAGUGUGGUAGGGGAGACUGGAAUUCCUGGUGUAGCGGUGAAAUGCGCAGAUAUCAGGAGGAACACCGAUGGCGAAGGCAGGUCUCUGGGCCACUACUGACGCUGAGAAGCGAAAGCAUGGGGGGCGAACAGG
rnacentral:rRNA from 1 species